rnacentral:lncRNA from 1 species
UCUGAACUGAACCGAACCGGAUCCGAACCGAACCAGAGCCUGUCUGAACCGAACCGAACAGGAUUCAACUUAAACCAAAGCGAAUCCGAUCAGAACUAAACCGAACCGGAUCCGAACCAAACCAGAUCCUAUCUAAACCGAGCCGGACUGGAUUCAACUUGAACUAAAGUGAAUCCGAUCCAAACUGAACCGAACCGGAUCCGAACUGAACCGGAUCCUGUCUGAACCGAACCGAACAGGAUUUAACUUGAACUAAAGUGGAUCCGAUCCAUAC